CAGCAGUGAGGAAUAUUGGACAAUGGGGGCAACCCUGAUCCAGCAAUGCCGCGUGAGUGAAGAAGGCCUGAGGGUUGUAAAGCACUUUUAGUGGUGAGGAGAGUCAUUUGUUUAAGAGAUGAGUGAUGAUGACGUUAGCCAAAGAAAAAGCACCGGCUAACUCCGUG
rnacentral:rRNA from 1 species